GAGUUUGAUCUUGGCUCAGAUUGAACGCUGGCGGCAGGCCUAACACAUGCAAGUCGAGCGGAUGACGGGAGCUUGCUCCUUGAUUCAGCGGCGGACGGGUGAGUAAUGCCUAGGAAUCUGCCUGGUAGUGGGGGACAACGUUUCGAAGGGAACGCUAAUACCGCAUACGUCCUACGGGAGAAAGCAGGGGACCUUCGGGCCUUGCGCUAUCAGAUGAGCCUAGGUCGGAUUAGCUAGUUGGUGGGGUAAUGGCUCACCAAGGCGACGAUCCGUAACUGGUCUGAGAGGAUGAUCAGUCACACUGGAACUGAGACACGGUCCAGACUCCUACGGGAGGCAGCAGUGGGGAAUAUUGGACAAUGGGCGAAAGCCUGAUCCAGCCAUGCCGCGUGUGUGAAGAAGGUCUUCGGAUUGUAAGCACUUUAAGUUGGGAGGAAGGGCAGUAAGUUAAUACCUUGCUGUUUGACGUUACCGACAGAAUAAGCACCGGCUAACUCUGUGCCAGCAGC
rnacentral:rRNA from 1 species